UGGGCGAUGAGAGCGCACAGCUCAGAGUGAAUCUGGCCUUUGGGCCCGAUUGUNAUUUGUAGAAGGUGCUUCGGGCGAGGCCCCGGCCCAAGUCCCUUGGAACAGGGCGUCGCAGAGGGUGAGAAUCCCGUACGCGGCCGAUGGCCAAGCCCGUGUGAAGCCCUUUCGACGAGUCGAGUUGUUUGGGAAUGCAGCUCCAAAUGGGUGGUAAAUUUCAUCUAAAGCUAAAUAUCUGUCAGAGACCGAUAGCGCACAAGUAGAGUGAUCGAAAGAUGAAAAGCACUUUGAAAAGAGAGUCAAACAGUACGUGAAAUUGUUGAAAGGGAAGCGCUUGCAACGAGACUCGUUCGCGGGUGUUCAGCCGUCCCCCGGGGCGGUGCACUCUCCCGCGUUUCGGGCCAGCAUCGGUUUCGGCGGCCGGACAAAGGCCCCGGGAACGUAGCUCUCUCCGGAGAGUGUUAUAGCCUGGGGUGCAAUGCGGCCAGCUGGGACCGAGGAUCGCGCAUUCGCUAGGAUGCUGGCGUAAUCGUUGUCAGCGACCCGUCUUGAAACACGGACCAAGGAGUCGACCAAUCUGGCAAGUUUUAGGGCGUAAACCCCUGAAGCGCAAUGAAAGUGAACGUAGGUGGGAGCCUUCGGGUGCACCAUCGACCGAUCCUGAUGUCUUCGGAUGGAUUUGAGUAUGAGCCCGGCUGGUCGGACCCGAAAGAUGGUGAACUAUGCGUGAAUAGGGUGAAGCCAGAGGAAACUCUGGUGGAGGCUCGCAGCGGUUCUGACGUGCAAAUCGAUCGUCAAAUUUGCGCAUAGGGGCGAAAGACUAAUCGAACUAUCUAGUAGCUGGUUCCCGUCGAAGUUUCCCUCAGGAUAGCAGCAACGAAAACAGUCUCAUGAGGUAGAGCAAACGAUUAGAGGUCUUGGGGUUGUAUUCGACCUUAACCUAUUCUCGAACUUCGAAUAUGUGAGAAGUCCUUGUUACUUAGUUGAACGUGGACAUUUGGAUGUAUCGUUGCUAGUCCCCCAUUUUUGGUAAGCAAGAAACUUGCCCCAAAC
rnacentral:rRNA from 1 species